UACAGGGGGGGCAAGCGUUGUCCGGAAUUACUGGGCGUACAGCGCGCGCAGGCGGUCCACUACGUGCCGUGUGACAGACGUCGGCUUAACCGACGUAGGCCAGGGUACACGGGUGAACUUGAGGCAGAGAGAGGGAUGUGGAAUACCCGGUGGAGCGGUGAAAUGCGUAGAGAUCGGGUGGAACACCAGGGGCGAAGGCGGCAUCCUGGCUCUGUACUGACGCUGAGGCGUGAGAGCGUGGGGAGCAAACCGG
rnacentral:rRNA from 1 species